rnacentral:rRNA from 1 species
GAUGAACGCUAGCGGCAGGCCUAACACAUGCAAGUCGAGGGGUAGAGGAAGCUUGCUUCCUUGAGACCGGCGCACGGGUGCGUAACGCGUAUGCAAUCUACCUUAUACAGAGGGAUAGCCCAGAGAAAUUUGGAUUAAUACCUCAUAGUAUUAUGAAAUCGCAUGGUUUUAUAAUUAAAGUUCCAACGGUAUAAGAUGAGCAUGCGUCCCAUUAGUUAGUUGGUAAGGUAACGGCUUACCAAGACAAUGAUGGGUAGGGGUCCUGAGAGGGAGAUCACCCACACUGGUACUGAGACACGGACCAGACUCCUACGGGAGGCAGCAGUGAGGAAUAUUGGUCAAUGGACGCAAGUCUGAACCAGCCAUGCCGCGUGCAGGAUGACGGUCCUAUGGAUUGUAAACUGCUUUUAUACAGGAAGAAACACUCCCUCGUGAGGGAACUUGACGGUACUGUAGGAAUAAGGAUCGGCUAACUACGUGCCAGCCGCCGCUGUAUAC